UACGAAGGGGGCUAGCGUUGCUCGGAAUCACUGGGCGUAAAGCGCACGUAGGCGGAUCUUUAAGUCAGGGGUGAAAUCCCAAGGCUCAACCUUGGAACUGCCUUUGAUACUGGGGAUCUCGAGUCCGGAAGAGGUGAGUGGAACUGCGAGUGUAGAGGUGAAAUUCGUAGAUAUUCGCAAGAACACCAGUGGCGAAGGCGGCUCACUGGUCCGGUACUGACGCUUAGGUGCGAAAGCGUGGGGAGCAAACAGG
rnacentral:rRNA from 1 species